rnacentral:rRNA from 1 species
AUCGAACGCUGGCGGCAGGCCUAACACAUGCAAGUCGAACGCGUGGCGGACGGGUGAGUAAUGUCUGGGAAACAGCCCGAUGGAGGGGGAUAACAACUGGAAACGGAAGAUAAUACCGCAUAUCAUCGGAUGUGCCCAGAGGGGAUUAGCUUGUAGGUGCGGUAACGGCUUACCUAGGCGACGAUCCCUAGAUGGGCUGAGAGGAUGACCCGCCACACUGGAACUGAGACACGGUCCAGACGCCUACGGGAGGCAGCAGUGGGGAAUAUUGCACAAUGGGCGCAAGCCUGAUGCAGCCAGGCCGCGUGUGUGAAGAAGGCCUUCGGGUUGUAAAGUACUGUCAGCGGGGAGGCGUUACCCGCAGAAGAAGCACCGGCUAACUCCGUGCCAGCAGCCGCGGUAAUUC